GGCCGAUUAGCUCAAUUGGUUAGAGUGAGGUGCUAUUCACACCAAGGUUGCUGGUUCGAUCCCCGCAUGGGCCA